UACGUAGGGUGCAAGCGUUAAUCGGAAUUACUGGGCGUAAAGCGUGCGCAGGCGGUUCUAUAAGACAGAUGUGAAAUCCCCGGGCUCAACCUGGGAACUGCAUUUGUGACUGUAGAGCUAGAGUACGGUAGAGGGGGAUGGAAUUCCGCGUGUAGCAGUGAAAUGCGUAGAUAUGCGGAGGAACACCGAUGGCGAAGGCAAUCCCCUGGACCUGUACUGACGCUCAUGCACGAAAGCGUGGGGAGCAAACAGG
rnacentral:rRNA from 1 species